AGAGUUUGAUCAUGGCUCAGGAUGAACGCUGGCGGCGUGCUUAACACAUGCAAGUCGAACGAUGAUGGGAGCUUGCUCCUGGAUUAGUGGCGAACGGGUGAGUAACACGUGAGUAACCUGCCCUUAACUCUGGGAUAAGCCUGGGAAACUGGGUCUAAUACCGGAUAUGACUCCUCAUCGCAUGGUGGGGGGUGGAAAGCUUUAUUGUGGUUUUGGAUGGACUCGCGGCCUAUCAGCUUGUUGGUGAGGUAAUGGCUUACCAAGGCGACGACGGGUAGCCGGCCUGAGAGGGUGACCGGCCACACUGGGACUGAGACACGGCCCAGACUCCUACGGGAGGCAGCAGUGGGGAAUAUUGCACAAUGGGCGCAAGCCUGAUGCAGCGCCGCCGCGUGAGGGAUGACGGCCUUCGGGUUGUAAACCUCUUUCAGUAGGGAAGAAGCGAAAGUGACGGUACCUGCAGAAGAAGCGCCGGCUAACUACGUGCCAGCAGCCGCGGUAAUACGUAGGGCGCAAGCGUUAUCCGGAAUUAUUGGGCGUAAAGAGCUCGUAGGCGGUUUGUCGCGUCUGCCGUGAAAGUCCGGGGCUCAACUCCGGAUCUGCGGUGGGUACGGGCAGACUAGAGUGAUGUAGGGGAGACUGGAAUUCCUGGUGUAGCGGUGAAAUGCGCAGAUAUCAGGAGGAACACCGAUGGCGAAGGCAGGUCUCUGGGCAUUAACUGACGCUGAGGAGCGAAAGCAUGGGGAGCGAACAGGAUUAGAUACCCUGGUAGUCCAUGCCGUAAACGUUGGGCACUAGGUGUGGGGGACAUUCCACGUUUUCCGCGCCGUAGCUAACGCAUUAAGUGCCCCGCCUGGGGAGUACGGCCGCAAGGCUAAAACUCAAAGGAAUUGACGG
rnacentral:rRNA from 1 species